GAUGAACGCUGGCGGCGUGCCUAAUACAUGCAAGUCGAGCGAACAGACGAGGAGCUUGCUCCUCUGACGUUAGCGGCGGACGGGUGAGUAACACGUGGAUAACCUACCUAUAAGACUGGGAUAACUUCGGGAAACCGGAGCUAAUACCGGAUAAUAUAUUGAACCGCAUGGUUCAAUAGUGAAAGACGGUUUUGCUGUGACUUAUAGAUGGAUCCGCGCCGCAUUAGCUAGUUGGUAAGGUAACGGCUUACCAAGGCAACGAUGCGUAGCCGACCUGAGAGGGUGAUCGGCCACACUGGAACUGAGACGCGGUCCAGACUCCUACGGGAGGCAGCAGUAGGGAAUCUACCGCAAUGGGCGAAAGCUUGACGGAGCAACGCCGCGUGAGUGAUGAAGGUCUUCGGAUCGUAAAACUCUGUUAUUAGGGAAGAACAAAUGUGUAAGUAACGAUGCACGUCUGGACGGUACCUAAUCAGAAAGCCACGGCUAACUACGU
rnacentral:rRNA from 1 species